UACGUAGGGGGCGAGCGUUGUCCGGAUUUAUUGGGCGUAAAGAGCUCGUAGGCGGUUUGGUAAGUCGGGUGUGAAAUCUCCACGCUCAACGUGGAGGGGCCACUCGAUACUGCCAUGACUCGAGUCCGGUAGAGGAGUGUGGAAUUCCCGGUGUAGCGGUGAAAUGCGCAGAUAUCGGGAGGAACACCGGUGGCGAAGGCGGUUCUCUGGGCAUUACCUGACGCUGAGGAGCGAAAGCGUGGGGAGCGAACAGG
rnacentral:rRNA from 1 species